GUUUAGUCUCUUUGCUAAAGUAAUCAGGCAAAGCUAAAAAGAGUUUGGUGGCUAGUACUAUGUCUGGGACCCUAUAUGUACUGUUGAUGAAGUUAGGUGCUGUUCUGAGCAUUAUUUGUGGAUAUAGAGUGGCGUUUUGGUUGAGGUUUGCACAUGGAGACGUAGACCGCUGUGUAUUGCUAUCAUGCGGUCAUUACUAAAGUUGGUAUAACUAGAGAAGCAAGUGGUCGGCAAAAUUCAUCUCUAGAGGGGGUCUAACUCGGUGUUACAGUGUGUUUGACACUAAUUUAAAUUUGUGCCGGAAUAUCCCUUUAAGCAGCAAUCCCUAAAAAGUCCCACUGAGCUGCUGGGUGCAGCUUCUAGACCCCAGUAAGCCACGCUGCUAGUGAUAAAGCCAGAUGACUCUGCCCAGAGAGAGAAAGAGAGGAGGGGGAAUAACUUUGAGUAAAACUGUAUCUGUGUUGUUUUGUUUCAGGAGAUAAAUACGUGUUGCCUAAAUCUCUCUUUGAUCACAGAAAACAUUUAUUCUCCAAAGGAAACCAAAAGGGAAUAGCAGCAGCACAACCUCCACUUCAAUUUCCCACUGGAGAUGCUUAAAGUGAAACACAGCAAUGUUAAACAAAAAUAUUCACAAUGCGCCGGCACUUUGGUGCUUAAACUAGGAAAAUGGUAAAAGCUUUGCACCAAACACACACCCUUUUUUGACUCGCUGAUUCAGACUGUUUGAAGACGACACAAGUAACAAACUGUAAGAAGUUCAAUAGGCUUAUAUCAGAUGACAUGCUGAUGCAUUACACACUCUUAGCCCUGUGCACUCCAAACUCAUUAGUAAACAUGCCCUUAUAUCAUCUUGACUCCAUUAUUGCAACAACCUUUCGUUUGCGGGUCUCUGGGCACCAUCUUCAGCUUACACAGUGCUGCUGCUGCUGCUGCUGGAUGCAAAGGCCUGCAAAUGUAUCCGGAGCUUCCUUCCAAGAUUCUCCUUUUUUAUGUUCAAAGCCCUGCAGUAACUCUUCCUGACUCACAUUACUAAACCUCUCUCCUCGUACAGUACAGCAAGGCCUCUUGGAUCCUCAGAUUAAGGCUGGUUAACUGUCCCACAUCUCACAGGAGAACUUGUAGGAGACAGGGUCCUAAUUCUUUGUAUCUGCAGCCAGACUCUGAGGUAGUUUCCCUGACAGUAGACUCGCUAAAAAGUUUUUGGACCAAGUUGAAUGCCCUUGGCUACCUGUGAUGAUUGUUUCCAUGAUUAUAUCCUGAUUCAUGAGUGUGUGUAUGGAAAGCUGCAUUUGCCAGGACUUUCCAGCACUAUCAAGUUACAGAGUCAAUUACCAAUUAAAGGGAUAUUCCAGCGUAAAUUUAAGUUAGGGUCAAACACACCGUAACACCGAGUUAGACCCCCGCUAGAGAUAAAUGUUGCCGACCACUUGCUUCUCUAGUUAUACCAACUUUAGUAACGACCGCAUGAUAGCAAUACACAGCGGUCUACAUCUCCACGUGCAAACCUCAACCAAAACGCCACUCUAUAUCCACAAAUAAUGCUCAGAACAGCACCUAACUUCAUCAACAGUACAUAUAGGGUCCCAGACAUAGUACUAGCCACCAAACUCUUUUUAGCUUUGCCUAAUUUCUUUAGCAAAGAGACUAAACACAACUCACCCACUCUCCUCCAGCAGCCGCUUGUUUGUGGGGGAGUCCUGACAAGUUGAUCACAGAGUGCAGCGGAAAAGUUAUCAUUAUUACUUCCUGGAAAUGGGACAAUCACGUCUGCAGUGCAAAAUGAUUAUUACAAUGAUUAUUACUUCAAGGAAACGAUCCACUGCACUCAAUGAUCGACUCGUCAGAAACAACAGGAAUCUAGGGAAUUUCCCCUGCACUGUAUCCAGGUAUUUAUGUCAAAGUCACACUGGUUAAAUUUUUGGCUUAAAAGUUACUGAAUCAAUUUCAAGUUACCCAAUCGUUUUAGAUCGUAUUGUUCUAAAUGAGCCAAUAUCGUCCUUGAAUCAAAUCGGCAACCACGAAUCAUGAUACGAAUCAAAUCGAUGUUGAAAUGAAUCGUAAACAACCCUAGAAUAAAGCCACCAAAAAAAGUCCUGCACUUGCACAUACUGUGUGCAUCAUGUCACCAAGCCUCUAAAUUCACUUGUUGAUGUACGUAAUCUAACCCCAACUCCUAACUUCCUCCUCUUGUUUUACCUGUUUGCUUCUGGUGAAAUAAACACAUGAAAUUUCAGCACAUCAUCCGAGAACACUGGAUCAUGGUUUCAAACUUGGUCCUGAUAUCCAUGGGCGGUUUGAGGCAAGAUAAAUUGUCAGAUAACUGGUAUUUAUCGCAGAUUAAAUCAAACCACUCGUUCGCUGUUACUUCAUUUUUUCCCAGAUGUGAAGGUUAUGUGUGUUUUUCAGAAGGCUUUAAUAUCAGGACUAAUUGAGUUGACAUCCAGCAUAAUUGAAGUGUGAGAGUUGUAUUGUGUGUUUUUGUCACAUUAGAAGUAAAAAAGAAGCUAAAUAAAUAAUAAAUCAAUAAAUUGAUGAAGAAAAGGACAAUUAUAUCCUGCUUUGCUCUUAAUUAACAACAUAUAAAUGUCAAAAAACAGAUUUCUGCAGAUCAUUGUGAUUAUAUUUGUAUUAGACCUAUUGGAUAUAGUAUUGAAAAGAUCCUAAAGAAAAUGGGUUCAUCAAAAUUGGGGGCAUAUACAUUUAUCAAAGUUACUUGUACUGAAUUUAGUUCCCCUUUAAAAAAUAAAUAUCUACAUCUGUCAUCAGUAAGUGUUUGUUUAUGUACAAAAGGACUGUUUUUCUUCAUAAUGAUUGCAUCUCCUCUUGCUUCUGUGCUAAAAUUUGACUGGGAAACAUGAGAUGCCCAUGAAGGACAUAAUAUCUCAGUGGUAGUUUUUUCAACAUGAUACAUGAUUUCUGGAGGAAACGUAUAUCAGCUUUGAGUGUACGUAAAUGAGCGUACAUUUUUCCUCUUUUUAAUGACCUGCCAGAAAAGUGACGUCAGUACGUAUAAAUAGAAAUUAUAUAUCAAUAAAGUUCUUCUUAUCUUAUAUAGGAAGACUUUUUGAAUUCCUGUUACAGCGAUCAGGUUUGCUCAGGUAUCUCUGGGUCAGGCUGCAGUUUUUGCUGCUGUUGUUCUUCACUGAUGGAUUAAGUUGGAUUGCGAAGUCUUCAUUGUCCCUGAGAGGCAAUUUGGUUUGCAACAGAAGUCCACACAAAGCAUCCUGUUGUAGGUCUUCCUCCCGCUUGUGAGUGUAUCGAUCUUUUAACAGGAUGAAUAAACUUUGGUUUUACUCUGGGCACAUUAUCAAUUUGGCGAGAAUGUAUUCUGGGUUCAACCGAACCUACGAGGAAAAGACUGCAGCGCCGACUAAUAAUGAAUCACCUGGAGGAGGGAGGGAAUAAUGGUGCUAAAGGAACCAGGAUUGUCAAACAGUGGUCUCCUGUGUCCACGUACUCACCGCCAGGCUUAAAGCGUUAAUGAAGCAGCAUCAUGAUUCCUGUGCUUUUGUUCCUUCAAGACAUGAGUCAUAAUUCACACAGCCCACAGAAGUAAACAUUUCCUCAAUUACAUCUUCAUGCAUUAUAAAACAGCUUUAGCAUGUGGCUUUUCCAUAGAAGAGAGUAAGAGAAACCAAAAAGUCCUGCAGGGAGGGGAAGAGUUCAGAGAGGAUGAGAGGCCUUCAUAUUGAUUUUCGAGCUAAGUAAGGAAAGGUUGUAAGUUCGGAUAGUCUUGGAGAUUAAAGUUGCGUUCACACCAAAAAGUCGGUUUUGUAAUACGAAACAAAGCGAAGAUGAAACCUUGAUCCGCGUUUAAAAAUUGUCACGUGGCUGCAAAAACCAUUGGCAUAACAAGCCUUAUGUCCCUUAUCACUUACCAUAGCAUGUGUACUGUUGCAUUAUGGGUAUCGUAGGCAGAUACAGUAUGAUACAAAAGUGAUGGCUCCACAUGGGAGCUGCAAUAAAAGAUGAUAUUAAAUCUCCAACACGGACUUCUUUAUUAAGAGUACCGAACAUUACAUACAUCAUGGAGCAUCGUCUACUCAUCUUUAUGUCGGUGCUGAUCUAGACUGCAUAUCAGCAGACUUAAAUGGACUGCGCGUAUGAACGGCUGGGAAAACUGUGGCAAUUAAAUAAUGUAUUGAUACACGCACGUCGCAGAAGACGCUCUGCAAUCAGACGGUCAUAUCACAGAAGACUACAGGCAAUUAUGAGAGCCUACCUCCAUGUUUUUUCAAGGCGCGCUUCCUGUGAUCAGUGCAGAUGGGGUUCACACUAGAAGUAAACCACUCUAGAGUUCACUUUAGAGUGGUAGUGGUCUGAGACCGCCCCUACCAGGCGAACGCGAGAGCGGUUGACUGGUCCACACCAAUGUUUAAGGACAGCGUUCACAACAACCAAAAAGAACCGCACCAAAGAGGUAAACGCUCCAGGGUUCAGUUCAACUGGACCAAACAAGGCUGGUGUGAACAUGACCUAAGGGCCCUUUCUCACCCAGAGUUCGCUUAGACGGUCCGGUUUAGGGACCAGAUGUUUACAUUGUUGCAUUUGGUCUGGUUAGCGUUCACAUGGGACUUUUGCUAAGCAAAGCAAAUGGUUUAAAAAAGAAGCAAAAUUACGAGGGAAAAUCACUGUCUGUCACCUGUUCAUUUGGGGCACAACCUUCAUUGUCCCACAGUGCAGAGAGAACAAUGGGUGUCUUGCUUCACGCAAUUCACCAGAGGUAGCGGAGACAUUGUGCAUUAAUGCAAAGAAAUUCCUAUAACACAUUGUCAGCGUGUUUGUUGAACAGAAGAACACCCAGGUAUUUAAUAUCACCCGACUACUGUAUUGGAACACAAACCCUCUACCAUUCGUCCAGUUCUACGGACAGUCCGGUGUUUUUACCAGCUGUUCUCCAUCUGCUGCAACUCCUAACCAGGCAUAAUUUCCUGGCUUUAUUACAGUGUAAAUGUGUUAUUGGUUUAUAUUGAUAUAGAAAAAGUCCGGCUGCAUCAGGGCUGCGUUCACAGUUGUGUUCAUGGACCAGACCAUGGUUCGUUUGGAGGGGGACUGAGUCCUGCAUUUUCAAGAGGACCAUGGUUGUAAGGAUGCCUAGCCCAUGUUCACACUUAAAAGAAUGGAAGGUCCAAACGAAUGAUCAUUUUGACAAGCUUUACUGGUUGCAGAUCUGGGUUACAGCUUCAUCAGGCCACAAGUGUAACAAAGACUGGUCUGAGACUGGUCAAGUAUAGAUAGCCGUCCAUGUUUCCAAACAUUCUUCUGGCAUCUUGUUGACCUGGAGGAGGAUCCAUGUAGGGUAAUAAAAAAAAAGCACAACAUAUUUUGGGAGCCUGAGUGAUGUUAAACAUGGGAACAAGGUCCUUGUUGAGGAUGGUUGUCAGAGGCCCAUGGCUCCAGAGAUCUAGCACCAAAGUAUCUAAGGUUUUUGAGUGACACAGCUCCACCACCCUAAAGGAUGACCUGACUGACUCAAGAGAAUCACCCUAACAAUGGUCCAUUUGUUCAAUCUGGACCACUGUUUGCUUGCACGUUCAUACCACCUGGACCAACCAUGGUCCUAUUCGAACGAACCGAACCAUCCUGGUGUGAAUGCGCCCUUAAGUUCAUUUGCUUUUGCAACAAGACCGUCUCAAAACGUCCCCUGAAAAUCAGCUCUGAAUAAAGUAGAGUGAUCUAGAAAUGUAUGCAUCUAUGUGUAGGUGAUUUUUUUAGCAUUUAUGCAUGAGUUUAUUCUACUAAUGUUUAUACAGAAGCUAUAAUUACUUAUGUGAGAGUGACAGACAAAAACAGAAAUAGAAAUAGAGUUUGUCUCUCUGUGUGUAUGUGUGUGUGCGUGUGUGACACUCAGGUAAUUGGGACAUUGUUGUUAUGCAGAUAGGUAGCGAGACUCCUGCCCCGAGGCCAGCCGCAGCAUAGAGAGUGUCACAGCAGGGAAGAAUUACCCACAUGAAACGAGGCAGCGUUGUAUUCAGACUGAUGAAUGCCAACGGGAACAACGAGACUUUGUUUCUCUGUCUCUCAGAGAGACAACAGUCCUCAUUUUGGCAGAGAGAAUAUGGCUGCUCUCCAAAUCUUCCCUGACAUUCAGCGGAGGUUUGCAGCGCCCGAAGAAAGACUGCUGGACUACCCUCCCUGUUUACACACAACCGUGGCAUUAUGGGUAUUUAGUCCAGCUGUGGCUGCGAGGUAAAGCACUGACCUGUAGUGAUAAAUGGUAAUUUAACAAAGAUUUUCACAUUUGCCUCAAGUUUCUAAAAUGUCCUUUUGUACUUCCCCACAAAAAAAGCUCCAACUUUAAUUAAAAUAGUUUUGUUUUAUAUGAAACACACAAUACCUUGAGCGUUUUCAUUAGGACGUGAACAUAUGACACCUUUAGAAACCAACAGCAUCCAACAACCAUCGUCUCAUUCGUGCAUUAAGUCAGAAUAGCUGAUUGGGAUCAAUAAAGCCACUCUCGGUGUUUUAUGUGUAUAUUUCAGAGAUAACCAAACUCCAUAGGGACUUAUUAGUUCCUCCCCCCUCUGACAGAAAGGACAGAAGAGCUCAGAUGGAAGCACUCGCAGCCUGAGACAUGAUUUUUAUUUCCUUCAACAAGCACACUAAAGGUAUUUAGUAUGCAGUUUGCAUUGCACCUCCGUCGAGCUGCAUUUUCCUUCUGUUAAAGUCACAUCUGCAACUGCCUCACCGCUCUCUGCCACCCUGCCCCUCAGCCUCCGCCUCCUCCGCCUCCUCAUGGCCAUCUCAUUAUGGAAGCUAAAUUAACCAUGGCGCAUACCUUCAGAGCGUGCAGCAGUUUUACAGCGCCAUCGGUCUCGCCUCACAAAUACUCCAUCAUGUAAUUGAAUAUCAAGUCUACCGGGGGCUUUCAUAAGUGACUGACCCACUGCAGGAGCGUAAUUGCACACGAGGAUGCAGUUUUUCUUUUUUUGUUUUUGAAAACAGACACAUGCAGACUCACAUGUGUGAUGCUCUUACAGUCAAGUACAGUGCAGAAGAGAGAGAAAGAGUGUUUCAACUGAGCGGAGUAAAGUUUCUUUAAAUUCACAAGGCACAGCAUUAUAAAACUAAUAAAUAAAGUUUACGACAUAAUCUCAGAGACCUGGAACAAGCACACUUGUGAGCCAGAAAUCGUCCAUGACCUUAAAUAACUCCUCGACGUUACUUAUAGACUUGGGUUUGUAUCAUCUGACCAGUCCAAAAAGAAGACACCCAUCGGAUGUACAAGUUACUUUAAUUUACUGUUCGGUUAAUUUACUGGCUUGUAACAUUGGAACAAUUUUAAGUUUAAAUUGUAGUUUCUGUUGCACACCUGUUAUUAUGCAUGUCUGGUUUUGCUGGUAUUUGUUGUUGCUAAGAGAACAAUCUGUGUGGAGAGAUAAACAAUAACACUAUCCUAGCUGACAUCCCUGUUAUCAUGAUGAUGAUUUUGUUCCAUUUAUCAUAAAAAAUGCAUAUAUUUGCGUGCAACUGCAGGUAGCAAUCUUCUUUUUAGACAUUGCUCCCUAAAUUCCACUUCAUUCUUUGCCUUCAAAUGUGCUGGCUGUUCCUAAAUAAGAGCAAAGAACUGAAAAAGACUAAACUCUGUCUGAAAGUCCUGUAAUGCAAAUCCAGAAGCCUUGAAAAACCGUAUUACUGUCAGAUGAUAGCUUGUAUGUUGUUCCUAAAGUUUACCUAAAGUCAACUAGUUGUGUCUUAUCUCCAUGUAUCACAGCAAAGUGCUCAAUUUUAUAGAUAACCUUCCAAUGUGCAUCAUUUAUGAAAUCCAAACACUACCUCUAUCAAUCGUACUUAUCCCAAGCCCAAUGAAAAAAGUUAAAAAAUAAAAAGUAAAAUAAAACACAUACUUCGGGUGGUGAACCUCAUCUCACAGAGACAACUCCAGGGCAAGAAUUCAAUCUGUCCAUUUUAUCCAUUUUAUAUCACGACAUAUAAGCGAUAGAGAACCAGAAAUGUCAAUCUCUCAUCUGAAUGCAACUUUGAAAUCAUACCUCAGAGUAGGGCUGGGCAAUACACCAAAAAUGUACCAAUACCAAGAUUUAUGACAAUAACUGACACCAUUUUUGCCCAUAUCGGUAUAUGAAAAUAAAUAAAUCAAAGUUUGUUUUGGAUGUGUGUAGGUAGGCUAAGGUCUCAUGUCCCUUUAAGACGCUGUCCUACGUCUGAGACGUGACUCCACCCCAUCCAGUCCGUAACGAAGAGGGAAAGACAGGUGAGGAAAUGGAGGACGGUUCAAAAGUUGUAGUGGCUGAAGUAGACGAAGUUAAUGUGGGAGGAGGUGAGCUGCUUGUGGAGUAGUUAUCGUCCAUUUAUUGUUAUCAGGGUGAACUGAUCAGUAUAUUGAUUUGAGGCCAUAUCGCUCAGCCCUACUGCAUUGUGCAUACUUAUUAAAGUGUAGAAAAGCACAUUUAGGUGAAUUACUGCUCUUUUUCUGAGGAAUAACAAUGAAGAUAAUAAUAAUAAUGAUAAAUAGCUGCUGCAGUCUGUCUGUUAGUGCUUGUAAACAUGACAGAGACCUGUGUAUUUUGCAUAUUCCUGUUUCCUGUCUUCAUUUCACACUGUCCACUAAAAGGAUUUCUAUCUCUGCUAAUUUAUUCUCCCAUAUUUUUGCCAUUAGCUGUUCACCCUUUUUUUUUUUCUCGGUCCAUCUCAUCUUCCCUAACCGCCCCAAAGCCUGACUAAUGCCGCAUGCUGCCCCCUACGUUCGGCCUCCAGUAAUACAGUCUGCAGAGCCAGCUGUAGUGUAAUUAAUUUCUCAUUAGUGUAAGCAAUAAUGACUAUCUCACAAUCUUGCUUGGCCUUUUUUUUUCCCUCACUCUCACUUCUUCUAUCUUGCUGCUUGUGUAUCUCUAUUGGCCUCAUCCUCCUC